rnacentral:rRNA from 1 species
CGUCUAUAUACGUAUAGCAUAUCAAUAAGCGGAGGAAAAGAAACUAACAAGGAUUCCCUUAGUAACGGCGAGUGAAGCGGGAAGAGCUCAAAUUUGAAAUCUUCAAGGUUUUACCUUGACGAAUUGUAGUUUAAGGAAGUGUUUUCUGUUAGAGUUUGAGUAGAAAAGUUCCUUUGGAAUAGGGACAUCAUAGAGGGUGAGAAUCCCGUAUUUGGUUACUUCUUUCUAGCUUUGUGAUACACUUUCAAAGAGUCGGAUUGUUUGGGAAUGCAGUCCAAAAUGGGUGGUAAAUUUCAUCUAAAGCUAAAUAUUGGCGAGAGACCGAUAGCGAACAAGUACCGUGAGGGAAAGAUGAAAAGAACUUUGAAAAGAGAGUUAAACAGUACGUGAAAUUGUCAAAAGGGAAGCGUCUGACACCAGUGUUGUUUUUCCGAAAAUCAAUUAAGAACGGCUUGAUUUUGUGUUGUAUUGACCUUAUCAGCUUUCUUCACUCUUUUUCAAGUCUUUCUUAAUGCACUUUUCGGUUAACAAGUCAACAUCAAUUUCUUUUGUUGUAAAAGGGUAUUUGGAAGGUGGCUUUCUUUUCGGAGAAAGUGUUUAUAGCCUUAUACCUCUACAAUCGGAGAGAUUGAGGUCUGCAGCGUAGAUCCUUCGGGGCUAGAUACACUUGUGCUAAGUUAUAGCUUUUCAUAGACAACUUGUUGACUAUGUUUAGUCAUGUAGCUUACCCGCUUGUGCUAUUUUACCUACGCUUAGGAUGUUGAGUCAUCACACAUCUCU